rnacentral:lncRNA from 1 species
AGCCAGCAAGAGCUGAGACUGAAGCACCAGUUGAGGUAACUUCAAGUAGAAUGUCAUAUUCAAGAUUCUUGGAUUACUUGAAUCAAGGUGCUGUCAAGAAAGUUGAUUUCUUUGAGAACAGUGCUGUUGCUGAGAUAUUGAUCAAUCCUGCUCUUAACAAAGUCCAGAGAGUUAAAAUUCAGUUGCCAGGAUUGCCACCAGAAUUGGUGAGAAAACUUAAAGACAAGAAUGUAGAUUUUGCUGCUCAUCUACCUGAAAAGAAUGUAAUUGGACCACUUCUUGAUUUGCUUGGGAAUUUAGCUUUUCCAUUGAUAUUGCUUGGUUAUUUACUGUUGAGAAGCUCUUCAAAUACCCCUGGAGGGCCAAACUUGCCUUUUGGAUUAGGAAGGUAUGC